rnacentral:rRNA from 1 species
AUUGAACGCUGGCGGCAUGCCUUACACAUGCAAGUCGAACGGUAACGGGCCUUCGGGUGCCGACGAGUGGCGAACGGGUGAGUAAUGUAUCGGAACGUACCUUUCAGUGGGGGAUAACGCAGCGAAAGUUACGCUAAUACCGCAUAUGCUGUGAGCAGGAAAGCAGGGGAUCGCAAGACCUUGCGCUGAUUGAGCGGCCGAUAUCAGAUUAGCUAGUUGGUGAGGUAAAGGCUCACCAAGGCGACGAUCUGUAGCGGGUCUGAGAGGAUGAUCCGCCACACUGGAACUGAGACACGGUCCAGACUCCUACGGGAGGCAGCAGUGGGGAAUUUUGGACAAUGGGGGCAACCCUGAUCCAGCCAUGCCGCGUGAGUGAAGAAGGCCUUCGGGUUGUAAAGCUCUUUCGGCCGGGAAGAAAUCGUAUGGGUUAAUACCCUGUGCGGAUGACGGUACCGGCAUAAGAAGCACCGGCUAACUACGUGCCAGCCGCCGCAGUAAGAC